CUCGGGAGAAGGAACUCGGCAAAUUGGUACCGUAACUUCGGGAUAAGGUACGCCCUUGUAGUUUGACCCCCCUGCGGGGGAAGGACGAAGGGGUUGCAAUAAACUGGUGGCUGCGACUGUUUAAUAAAAACACAGCACUCUGCAAACACGAAAGUGGACGUAUAGGGUGUGACGCCUGCCCGGUGCUGGAAGAUUAAAUGAUGGGGUGCAAGCUCUUGAUUGAAGUCCCAGUAAACGGCGGCCGUAACAAUAACGGUCCUAAGGUAGCGAAAUUCCUUGUCGGGUAAGUUCCGACCUGCACGAAUGGCGUAACGAUGGCCACACUGUCUCCUCCCGAGACUCAGCGAAGUUGAAGUGUUUGUGAUGAUGCAAUCUACCCGCGGCUAGACGGAAAGACCCCGUGAACCUUUACUGCAGCUUGACAUUGAACUUUGACCUUACUUGUGUAGGAUAGGUGGGAGGCUUUGAAGUUGGAACGCUAGUUCCAAUGGAGCCGUCCUUGAAAUACCACCCUGGUAAUGUUGAGGUUCUAACUCUGCCCCGUAAUCCGGGGCGAGGACCAUGUCUGGUGGGUAGUUUGACUGGGGCGGUCUCCUCCCAAAGUGUAACGGAGGAGUUCGAAGGUACGCUAGUUACGGUCGGACAUCGUGACGAUAGUGCAAUGGCAUAAGCGUGCUUAACUGCGAGACUGACAAGUCGAGCAGGUACGAAAGUAGGACAUAGUGAUCCGGUGGUUCUGUAUGGAAGGGCCAUCGCUCAACGGAUAAAAGGUACUCUGGGGAUAACAGGCUGAUUCCUCCCAAGAGUUCAUAUCGACGGGGGAGUUUGGCACCUCGAUGUCGGCUCAUCACAUCCUGGGGCUGUAGCCGGUCCCAAGGGUAUGGCUGUUCGCCAUUUAAAGUGGUACGUGAGCUGGGUUUAAAACGUCGUGAGACAGUUUGGUCCCUAUCUGCCGUGGGCGUUGGAAGUUUGAAGGGGGCUGCUCCUAGUACGAGAGGACCGGAGUGGGCGAACCUCUGGUGUAUCGGUUGUCACGCCAGUGGCAUUGCCGAGUAGCUAUGUUCGGAAGAGAUAACCGCUGAAAGCAUCUAAGC
rnacentral:rRNA from 1 species